rnacentral:sRNA from 1 species
CCUGCCUUUCGUCAGCAGUAGUCACUUACCAGGCAUGUGUUAGGUCAGUGCACUAUCAAAGGAGAUGCUUCAAUAUGCAGUUUUUGGCUUCCAUUUUCAAAGUAAGACAUGAAGGCACCUAGAGUAAUACCCAAAUUACUUUUUUGGGAGUGUAUAUUUACAAAUGUGUUCUUAUUGUUUUCUAGUUCCAUAGUGAUCCAUUGUCUGCUAUAAAUGCCUGCUUUGAAGGUGACACUGUUAUUGUUUGUCCUGGCCAUUAUGUGGUACAUGGCACUUUCUCCAUUGCUGACUCCAUUGAGUUGGAAGGAUAUGGCCUACCAGAUGACAUUGUGAUAGAAAAGAGAGGCAAAGGCGACACUUUUGUGGACUGCACCGGUGCUGAUAUUAAAAUCUCAGGCAUAAAAUUUGUUCAGCACGAUGCUGUAGAGGGAAUCUUAAUUGUUCACCGUGGUAAGACUACGCUGGAAAACUGUGUGCUGCAGUGU